rnacentral:rRNA from 1 species
AAUCCAUAGGUUAAUGAGGCGAACCGGGGGAACUGAAACAUCUAAGUACCCCGAGGAAAAGAAAUCAACCGAGAUUCCCCCAGUAGCGGCGAGCGAACGGGGAGGAGCCCAGAGCCUGAAUCAGCAUGUGUGUUAGUGGAAGCGUCUGGAAAGGCGCGCGAUACAGGGUGACAGCCCCGUACACAAAAGCGCAUGUGCUGUGAGCUCGAUGAGUAGGGCGGGACACGUGGUAUCCUGUCUGAAUAUGGGGGGACCAUCCUCCAAGGCUAAAUACUCCUGACUGACCGAUAGUGAACCAGUACCGUGAGGGAAAGGCGAAAAGAACCCCGGCGAGGGGAGUGAAAAAGAACCUGAAACCGUGUACGUACAAGCAGUGGGAGCACAGGUUUACCUGUGUGACUGCGUACCUUUUGUAUAAUGGGUCAGCGACUUAUAUUCUGUAGCAAGGUUAACCGAAUAGGGGAGCCGGAGGGAAACCGAGUCUUAAUUGGGCGUUAAGUUGCAGGGUAUAGACCCGAAACCCGGUGAUCUAGCCAUGGGCAGGUUGAAGGUUGGGUAACACUAACUGGAGGACCGAACCGACUAAUGUUGAAAAAUUAGCGGAUGACCUGUGGCUGGGGGUGAAAGGCCAAUCAAACCGGGAGAUAGCUGGUUCUCCCCGAAAGCUAUUUAGGUAGCGCCUCGUGAAUUCAUCUCCGGGGGUAGAGCACUGUUUCGGCUAGGGGGCCAUCCCGGCUUACCAACCCGAUGCAAACUGCGAAUACCGGAGAAUGUUAUCACGGGAGACACACGGCGGGUGCUAACGUCCGUCGUGAAGAGGGAAACAACCCAGACCGCCAGCUAAGGUCCCAAAGUCAUGGUUAAGUGGGAAACGAUGUGGGAAGGCCCAGACAGCCAGGAUGUUGGCUUAGAAGCAGCCAUCAUUUAAAGAAAGCGUAAUAGCUCACUGGUCGAGUCGGCCUGCGCGGAAGAUGUAACGGGGCUAAACCAUGCACCGAAGCUGCGGCAGCGAACGUAUCACUUAAAGCGAUUCAGCGGGUUACGAUUGACGGAGCGAAGCGACGUCAAAGCGUAUACAAAGUCGAGUCGGUUUAAGGAUACGUUCGUUGGGUAGGGGAGCGUUCUGUAAGCCUGUGAAGGUGGCCUGUGAGGGUUGCUGGAGGUAUCAGAAGUGCGAAUGCUGA